rnacentral:lncRNA from 13 species
AGUAGGGUUGGUGCAUGACUUCCCUUAUGCCUCCACAAUCACAUUCCCUGUUUAUUGUCAGGCUGGGGCAUGACUUUCCAAAUGCCAAGUCCUAUAAAAAAUACACUAAAAAUACACUAUAAAAUGCUGAUCACAAGACAAUGCGUAUUAGGCUACAGUAGACUACUACUGAAAACUAAAUAUUUGGCUUAAGACUUUAGUUGAUUGUAUUUGUUAAAAGAUAACUGUUAAUGGGGGAUAUGGAGUUUCACGUCUACUUAUAAACUCUUACACAUUGGUGAAUGUUUACACCGUCAGUCUGUGGGGAAACUACAUUUCCAGCAUGUAUAAACAGUUAUUGGCUCUUACAUAAAAUCCCCUAUUCACACAUACAAUGAACUCCAUAGUUGUAGCCUACUGUUCCAUACAUAUUUGGAAGUAGUCCAGCCUAAUGCACAUUGUCUUCAAAGUGAUCGGCACCCUAAGCAUAUGACUAAAGGCUUGAUGUUAAAAAGUCAUGGCCCUACAAUCUUACAAAUCUGUGACUUGUUUCUGUGUUUUCAUCCUUGUUCUCAAACCUUCACUUUGAGAAAGUCCUAAUUUCCUAUCCUAGUGCCCUGGUAAUGAAAAGGAAGGAUGUCACAUCCCUUCUACCUCCCUCUUUCCAGUGUCCGUUGAGGCCCUCUUUCUCAGAUAAAUGAUUAGGCCUACCAAUGACAAUGACCCUUCCAGAUGAUCUCUUUCCUCUUUCCGGUGUUCUUUCCAAAGGCCUUAUCGAGGCUAGCCUGAUUCCAGAUCUGUUUGUGCUGUUUUGCCAACUCCUAUGGUCAUUGUCAUACUGCACAAACAUUAGUUGGCAAGACAGCACCAACAGAUCUGGGACCAGGAUGGUCUAUAUCUAUGUAUGGGUUCUAUAGGUCCAGUGGUGUGUAUGGGUUCUAUAGGUCCAGUGGUGUAUACGGGUUCUAUAGGUCCAGUGGUGUAUACGGGUUCUAUAGGUCCAGUGGGGUGUACGGGUUCUAUAGGUCCAGUGGUGUAUACGGGUUCUAUAGGUCCAGUGGGGUGUACGGGUUCUAUAGGUCCAGUGGUGUGUAUGGGUUCUAUAGGUCCAGUGGGGUGUAUGGGUUCUAUAGGUCUAGUGGUGUGUAUGGGUUCUAUAGGUCCAGUGGGGUGUAUGGGUUCUAUAGGUCUAGUGGUGUGUAUGGGUUCUAUAGGUCCAGUGGUGUGUAUGGGUUCUAUAGGUCCAGUGGGGUGUAUGGGUUCUAUAGAGGUGACACAUCAAUGAUCAGUACUGUAGAGGUACCACAUCUAUGAUCAGUACUGUAGAGAUACCACAUCAAUGAUCAGUACUGUAGAGGUGCCACAUCUAUGAUCAGUACUGUAGAGGUACCACAUCUAUGAUCAGUACUGUAGAGGUACCACAUCUAUGAUUAGUACUGUAGAGGUGCCACAUCUAUGCUUAGUGUAAACUAGACUCAUUGCCGGGUUGUGGAGAAGACAGAUGGUGUGUCAGAAUAAAGAAAUAUGGGAUAUAGAGAAGACAGCUGUUGUCUCAGAUUAAAGAAAUACGGGCUGUAGAGAAGACAGCUGGUUUGUCAGUGUAAACAAAGACAUUGGAAUCCAUUGUUCUACACACUUUUAUUGUUUUUAUGCAACUUUUUGUCUUCUAUUUUGCAAGAGAGACUUUCUGUCUCUAAUAUGUUCAAAGUUGAAAUAAUGCAAUGUUGAUUGAGAUAAUAUAGGUAUUUUUGAAGUGGGGCCAACUUUCAGAGUCGAAUAUGUUUGAGUCUUAUCUAUGAGAUAAAAUCUCUUUGUUCAAUGUUGAAAUUAUUGAAUGUUAAUUGUAGGGAAAUGUAUUUUUUGUAAGAGUGCCAACUUUCAGAGUCAUAUCUGUUUAACCUCUUGUAGUUUUGCAUUUAACCCAUGAUGUCACCCUUGGGAAAUGUGAUUGUCAGCUAAAAGCCAAUCAGAGCAGAGCUCUUCAUGGGACACUGCCAACCUGCCCAGUAGUUUACAUUCUGUGUGCAAGACCACACGCACGCACACAUACACCCACACACACAUCCAUACAUUCCGUACAUAUAGAUCCUUUAGCCUCCCUGUGACGUUGUGAGAGAUCAGACCUCUGAUUUCACGAACCUGUGGAAAUGGAUGUUGUUAUUGAAGAAGGCCUUGUCUGACAUCUUUAGAACGGGUGGGGUUUUGACAAUAACUCCAACAUUCCAGCGUCCGUUGUCUGUCCCUUUUGUUCAUAUCAACCAGUCUUACGUACUGUACUGUAUGUCUGGAACCAACAGGACCCUGAACCGUUUCUACCCUCAAGCUAUAAGACUACUAAAGAGUUAGUCUGGCUAUUUGGUUAACUAUGUAAAUAUCUGCAUUGACCCUUUUUGCAAUAAAAAAAAAAAAAAACAACAUAUGACAUACCCUGCUGCUACCAUCUGCUAUCUGUCACUUUAGUCCUAGUUAUAUGUACAUAUCUCCAUGUACAUGGCGGCAGGGUAGCCUAGUGGUUAGAGCGUUGGACUAGUAACCGAAAGGUUGCAAGAUCGAAUCCCCGAGCUGACAGCGUAACAAUCUGCCAUUCUGCCCCUGAACAAGGCAGGUAACCCACUCAUUGAAAAUACGAAUGAGUUCUUAACUGACUUGACUAGUAAAAUAAAAUAUCUCUCAAUUACCCCUGCGCAUGGACUAAGUACUGAUACCCCGUGUAUAUCGCCAAGUCCUUGUUAUGUAUUUUCCUGUUAUAUCUCUAUUUUAUUUCUCUCUGCAUUGUUGGGAAAGACCGUAAGUAAACUGUUAGUCUACACUGAAGCAUGUGACAAAUACAAUUUGAUUGGAUUUGUAAGUCAUGAGUUGCGACAAUAAUUCUUAGCUAUGCAACAGGAUGAAAUGUUGCAGGUUGGUAAAUUACCCCAGAGGGCUAUGUGCAGCCUACAGGGGUAAGGCUAUGAUAUGGAGUCUUUACAUCUGCCUACCCCUCCCUGCAAGAUCAGCAUGACCUUUCUCCUCAGAGACGGAAUUCAUCUGUAAAGUAAAAUCCAUCCCUGGAUGGAGGGAGGGAUGGAUGGAGGGAGGGAUGGAUGGAGGGAUGGAUGGAUGGAUGGAGGGAUGGAGGGAUGGAUGGAUGGAGGGAGGGAUGGAUGGAUGGAUGGAGGGAGGGAUGGAUGGA